AGAGUUUGAUCCUGGCUCAGAAUGAACGUUGGCGGCGUGGAUUAGGCAUGCAAGUCGAGCGAGAACCCGCAAGGGGGACAGCGGCGAACGGGGUAGGAAUACGUAGGUAACGUACCCUCGGGGCGAGGACAGCCACGGGAAACUGUGGGUAAUACUCGAUAAACUUCCCAAUCAUUAUGGAAGGGGAAGCAAUGGGUGUGAUUCCACCUGAGGAGCGGCUUACGCAGUAUCAGCUAGUUGGUGAGGUAACGGCUCACCAAGGCUACGACGCUUAGGGGGUGUGAGAGCAUGGCCCCCACCACUGGCACUGAGACACUGGCCAGACACCUACGGGUGGCUGCAGUCGAGAAUCUUCGGCAAUGGACGCAAGUCUGACCGAGCGACGCCGCGUGUGGGAUGAAGGCCUUCGGGUUGUAAACCACUGUCAGAGGGGAUGAAGUGUACGAGAGUUAUCUCUUGUAUUUGACAGAGCCUCAGAGGAAGCACGGGCUAAGUUCGUG
rnacentral:rRNA from 1 species